GAUGAACGCUGGCGGUAUGCUUAACACAUGCAAGUCGAACGGACUCUUCGGAGUUAGUGGCGGACGGGUGAGUAACGCGUGAGAAUCUGGCUUUGGGUUCGGGACAACCACUGGAAACGGUGGCUAAUACCGGAUGUGCCGAGAGGUAAAAGAGAAAUUGCCUGAAGAUGAGCUCGCGUCUGAUUAGCUAGUUGGUGAGGUAAGGGCUCACCAAGGCAGCGAUCAGUAGCUGGUCUGAGAGGAUGACCAGCCACACUGGGACUGAGACACGGCCCAGACUCCUACGGGAGGCAGCAGUGGAGAAUGUUCAGCAAGGGGCGAAAGGCUGACGGAGCAAUACCGCGUGAGGGAAGAAGGCUCUGGGGUUGUAAACCUCUUUUCUUAGGGAAGAACAAAAUGACGGUACCUAAGUAAUCAGCAUCGGCUAACUCCGUG
rnacentral:rRNA from 1 species